rnacentral:misc_RNA from 1 species
ACAAGUCCUAAAAGCCACUUAUUACUAUAAAUAUUGAUGCAUGAAACAUAUGGACAGCAACUAAUGUGGCAUAUGAGAGAACUAUUUUAUGCAAGCCUAAGCCUAUAAUAGAACAGCAUCCUCAAAAGUACUCCAUGAUAGGCUAGUACCUUUCUAUUCCUGUUUAAAACAAAGUUCCACAAGGAAGAGCUCCCCAUCAAAUGUCAACCCAAAUGCCUCAGUAGGUUGAAGUAAGCCAUCCACCAUCCCACCAAACAUGUACAAAUGACGCCCUGAAUUAUCAGCACAAGCUUGAUGAAAUGACCUGCUGUUUGGUUUAUAACCUUUUGACUUCAACCUUUUCCACAUAUUUGCACGCAAUGCAGUUGGCUGAACUUGAGUGUAUACAAUUGAACUAAUAUCUAACACCCAAAAGUCAUCCUUCCUACGUCUGUAUGAAUCUUCACCUCCAUAUAUUAGCACCCGACCUCCCAAAAUUGGCGUAGCUGAAUGACCAACUCGUGGGAGCGAGACUCCUUCAGGUAUGUUUUGCAAUUCAAAACACAUCUGCACCCAUUUUAGCUGACCAUCAAAUAUCUGCAACAGCCAAACAUCAUUUAACACCUCAUAUCCCAAUCCUCUUCCACCAAAUAAAACCAUUCUAGUUCCUCCAAUGCACGUUAAUGAGUGUCCUGAACGAGGAGGAGGUGAUGGAUGAGCAACAAGUUCGUGCCAUGUUCCAAAACAAAGAUUUUCUGAAAGUUCCAAAACCCAAGUGUCACCUAAUCUAACGCCGUGCAACCCAAUUCCUCCCUGGAUAACCAUCUUCCUUUGAUCAAAAUAACAUGCAGCAUGAGCCCCUCGUGGUGGUGGUGCAUGGGAUUGUACAUUGAGUAGUCUCCAUGAGAGUGAGAUACAGAGGUUAUCACUAAAGACUAGUUGCCCAAUCCAUGUAUCAUUUUGACGGAUCCCACAAUCAUUAAUCCCUCCAAAGAGGACAAGGUGAUGGACAAAAACAACACAUGUAUGCCCAAAUCUGCCACUUGGAACUCCUGAAUCAACCUUCUGCCACUUGAAGGUCCUUCGAACACCAUUCCCUAGAUAUGCCACCCAUGUGUCAUCAAGAUGGCGUCCUCCUUCACAGCCACCACCAAACAAAACCAAGCAAUCAGACACAGAGUUGAGAGAGUGAGAAGCCCUGGGUUUAGGAAGCACCGAUUCAGGAUCUGCGUCAGACAACUUAUGGCAAGUAACCGAGUCAAGCUGCGAGACCUGCUUGUACAACCUCAUCCAUGACAAGUUUUGAUUAUUGGCAGAAGACUUAAGGGCAUCAACUGAUGUGGGUCCCCAGUCUCUCUUGCAAAUGGACUCCCAGAAAGCAUCAGAGCUUGUGAAGGACCUGAAUCUCUUGCAGGUCAUAGAAAACGAGAGAAUCGAAUCUAUGGGAAGUAGAAGUAAGAUUGAGAAGAGAUGGUCAGGAGCCAAGUUAAUAAUUGGAGAUGAUAAAGAUGAUGAUCCACUGGUGCUGGCGGUCUCAGCCAUGGAAGAAGUAGCCAUGGCCGAGGUAUGAUUGUUGGAAUAGAAAGGGUACGGUUAAUGGAUUGGAUUGAAUGGUAAAAUGGGUUUGGUGUGUUGCGAAAAUGGGAUGAUUUGGUAAAAUUAUUAGGUUUGAAAGAGAUAGAAUAUAGAUAGAUGAGGAUUGAGAA